rnacentral:rRNA from 1 species
UACGUAGGCAGCAAGCGUUGUUCGGAGUUACUGGGCGUAAAGGGUGUGUAGGCGGUUCUUUUAAGUUUGGUGUGAAAUCUCCCGGCUCAACCGGGAGGGUGCGCCGAAUACUGAGGAGCUAGAGUGCGGGAGAGGAAAGUGGAAUUCCUGGUGUGAGCGGUGAAAUGCGUAGAUAUCAGGAGGAACACCGGUGGUGUAGACGGCUUUCUGGACCGUAACUGACGCUGAGACACGGAAAGCGUGGGUAGCAAACAGG